GAAGGGACCUAGCGUAGUUCGGAAUUACUGGGCUUAAAGAGUUCGUAGGUGGUUAAAAAAGUUGGUGGUGAAAUCCCAGAGCUUAACUCUGGAACUGCCAUCAAAACUUUUUAGCUAGAGUAUGAUAGAGGAAAGUAGAAUUUCUAGUGUAGAGGUGAAAUUCGUAGAUAUUAGAAAGAAUACCGAUUGCGAAGGCAGCUUUCUGGAUCAUUACUGACACUGAGGAACGAAAGCAUGGGUAGCGAAGAGGAUUAGAUACCCUCGUAGUCCAUGCCGUAAACGAUGUGUGUUAGACGUUGGAAAUUUAUUUUCAGUGUCGCAGCGAAAGCAGUAAACACACCGCCUGGGGAGUACGACCGCAAGGUUAAAACUCAAAUGAAUUGACGGGGACCCGCACAAGUAGUGGAGCAUGUGGUUUAAUUCGAAGAUACGCGCAGAACCUUACCAACACUUGACAUGUUCGUCGCGACUCUAAGAGAUUAGAGUUUUCGGUUCGGCCGGACGAAACACAGGUGCUGCAUGGCUGUCGUCAGCUCGUGUCGUGAGAUGUUGGGUUAAGUCCCGCAACGAGCGCAACCCUCACUUUUAGUUGCCAUCAUUAGGUUGGGCACUCUGAAAGAACUGCCAGUGAUAAGCUGGAGGAAGGUGGGGAUGACGUCAAGUCCUCAUGGGCCCUUAUGUGUUGGGCUACACACGUGCUACAAUGGCAUUUACAUAG
rnacentral:rRNA from 1 species